rnacentral:misc_RNA from 1 species
GAUGAAGAACGCAGCGAAAUGCGAUAAGUAAUGCGAAUUGCAGAAUUUCCGUGAGUCAUCGAAUCUUUGAACGCACAUUGCGCCCACUGGUAUUCUGGCGGGCAUGCCUGUUCGAGCGUCAUUUCAACCCUCAAGCACAGCUUGGUGUUGGGACUCGCGUUAAUUCGCGUUCCUCAAAUUGAUUGGCGGUCACGUCGAGCUUCCAUAGCGUAGUAGUAAAACCCUCGUUACUGGUAAUCGUCGCGGCCACGCCGUUAAACCCCAACUUCUGAAUGUUGACCUCGGAUCAGGUAGGAAUACCCGCUGAACUUAAGCAUAUCAAUAAGCGGAGGA